rnacentral:misc_RNA from 1 species
GCUAGGGUUCCAGCUCGAGCGAAUCCCCCACAUUGUGAAAAUCACCCUACAAUAAUGUAGCAUAUAUUCUACCGCUCUACUUAUUCCCCUCAAAUUAAUCCUGUGUGCUUUCAAGGUAAAGUGCUUCUGCGCUUGAUGCUUAUACUGUGGCACAUGUGACUCAGUGAAGUUGAUAUGCUCUCAUAUAUACAUCUUCAUCUGUCCCUUUUAUCAGUGAAUAACUCCAAUCAUGUUGCGUGUUAAUUAUCUAAUUAAGUUAAUGUUAGGUGGCGUUUGGUUUAGCUUUUUGGGAUAGUUAAUAGCUAUUUUGUUUGCAACAAUGAUCCUAUAUGUUUUGCUAAAAUUUUGUGAAUCACUUGCUUGUAGCUUAUUUUAGUCUCUAUAAGCUGCUUCUUCCAUCAGCUCCAUUUUAGAUAUUUUUCUCAUAUAGUUGAUUUUAUUUUAUUUUUCCUUUAGACUAUCUUAUCCUUUUAAAAUUUAUUAAUUACAAAAUUUUUGUGUUUUUAAAUUAACUUUGUUCUUAUAUCAAUGAAUUAUUUAAAAUUAUAAUAAAUAAUAAAUAAACACAAAAAUAUUACAAUU